rnacentral:lncRNA from 1 species
CUGGAGGCAGGUGUCUCAAAGACCAGCAAUCUUCGCCAGGCCUAUACUGUGAGAGUUUUUUUCUCUCUGUGGAAGAGGGACAUGGAAAAGACUGACCUUGUUUUGUCUAGGCAAAGGGGUGUAAUCAAUUUUCCAGUGUCCAGCAGCUUUGUCCACAGUCUCGGCCAGGUUCUGGCAGGCGGCAGGUAUCACAUCUGAGCAUCUCGCUCACUGGUCCAGGUGCAGGAACUGAGAUGCUCAGAUGUGAUACCUGCUGCCUGCCAGGGCCUGGCCGAGACUGUGGACAAAGCUGCUGGACACUGGAAAAUUGAUUGUACCCCUUUGCCUAAACAAAACAAGGUCAGUCUUUUCCAUGUCCCUCUUCCACAGAGAGAAAAAAGAAAAACUCUCACACUCUCUUCGGGCCGGAGCCUAAGCCGCGCCAGGCGAGGGACGGACAUUCAUGGCGAAUGGCGGCCGCUCUUCUCGUUCUGCCAGCGGGCCCCUCGCCUCUCCUCCCCACCGUUUGGUGGUGUGUGGAAGGCAGGGGUGCGGUUAUCCGGUCUGAACCCUGUCAAUCCCCGCACUUGUCGCUGUGGUUCGUGGGGUUCUUGCGACGUUGCCAGGUUGCCCCUGGCGCGGCUCGCGUGGUCUGCCUGGUCCCCCUCCCCGGACCGGGGCAGGGGGUGGCCAGUCUGCCGUGCUGCAUGCCCUUCCCGACUGGCGUGUGCACGUGUCUCGCUCGCUAUCCUCGCGGUGCUCCUGGAGCGCUCCAGGCUUGACCUCGAAGGUGCCCGUUUCUGAGCGGCGGCGUCGCUUCCCGCUCCCUGGCGUGCUGCCUCCUGCGUGCUCGGUCUGGCCUCGGUGGCGUGUGUUGUCGUUCCCGGCUCUUUGUCGACGGGGGUCCGUGCCGCUCUGGUUUUGCGAGGUGUCGUUUGUGGGGGGUCGAGAAAGUGGUUUCAGGCGGGUAAGAGUUCUCUUGCGGCGUUUCCCCGGGACGUCCGCAUGUGUGUGUGGCAUCUCUUCCCGCUUUGGGUGAGCGCCCGCCACGUACUUGGGCCUUCUCCCGUAGGCUCGUGCGUCGGUUGGUGUCGAGCGUUCGCGGCCGGCCUUUUUUGUGCUUAAGUGUAUCUUAAGCCCGUUAAUUUGGCUCACCGCCGUUCGCCCGGAGGUGGGUUUGAGAGGCCUGGCUUGUCCGGGGGUGCCUUUUUCUUGGCCCCGGUACCCCUGUCCGCGAGUGCUCAAUGUGAACCCUGGUAAAGAGAAAAAAAGCCUUUACCGAUACCGCGGGGCCCCCCCUCAAACGCUCGCUCGUGGCUUGCCCGUUUAUACUCUGUGACGGGGUUUGAGUGUGCACGCUGUACCCCCGCACGCACGCACGCUGCCCUUGGCCACCGCGGCCGGGAGCUCGCCGGGUCGGGUCCGUCCCGCCCUCAGUGAGAAAAGUUGCCUUCUCUAGCGAUCCGAGGAAAGGGCGUGC